rnacentral:rRNA from 1 species
AUUGAACGCUGGCGGCAUGCCUAACACAUGCAAGUCGAACGGCAGCGCGUUAGAGGGUAACCUUUAAUGGCGGCGAGUGGCGUACGGGUGAGUAAUGCGUAGGAAUCUAUAAUAGAGUCGAGGAUAACCUGUGGAAACAUAGGAUAAUACUGGAUGAUCCUUAUCAAAGGUAAAGCUGGGGACCUUUUGGCCUGGCGCUUUAUGGUGAGCUUACGUUAGAUUAGCUAGUUGGUAGGGUAAAGGCCUACCAAGGCUGAGAUCUAUAGCUGUUCUGAGAGGAAGAACAGCCACACUGGGACUGCGAGACGGCCCAGACACUUACGGGAGGCAGCAGUGGGGAAUAUUGGACAAUGGGCGAAAGCCUGAUCCAGCAAUGCCGCGUGUGUGAAGAAGGCCUUCGGGUUGUAAAGCACUUUCAGUGGGGAGAAAGUUAACUAUGUUUAAUAAAUAUAGUUGAUGAUGUUACCCAAAGAAGAAGCACCGGCUAACUCUGUGCCAGCCGCCGCCGUAA